GAAAUGCGAUAAGUAAUGUGAAUUGCAGAAUUCAGUGAAUCAUCGAAUCUUUGAACGCACAUUGCGCCCGCCAGUAUUCUGGCGGGCAUGCCUGUUCGAGCGUCAUUAACCCUCAGGCCCCCGGGCCUGGCGUUGGGGAUCGGCGGAAGCCCCCUGCGGGCACAACGCCGUCCCCCAAAUACAGUGGCGGUCCCGCCGCAGCUUCCAUUGCGUAGUAGCUAACACCUCGCAACUGGAGAGCGGCGCGGCCACGCCGUAAAACACCCAACUUCUGAAUGUUGACCUCGAAUCAGGUAGGAAUACCCGCUGAACUUAAGC
rnacentral:misc_RNA from 1 species